rnacentral:rRNA from 1 species
UACAGAGGGGGCAAGCGUUGUUCGGAAUUACUGGGCGUAAAGGGCGCGUAGGCGGCCUGUUAAGUCGAACGUGAAAUCCCCGGGCUCAACCCGGGAACUGCGUCCGAUACUGGCAGGCUUGAAUUCGGGAGAGGGAUGUGGAAUUCCAGGUGUAGCGGUGAAAUGCGUAGAUAUCUGGAGGAACACCGGUGGCGAAGGCGGCUCUCUGGACCGAUACUGACGCUGAGGCGCGAAAGCGUGGGGAGCAAACAGG